CAAUUGCAAAGUUCUUGGUUCAGGCUUGUAGCAGUGAUGAAAUAAACUGCUGGCUUGUUAAGUCUCUGGUUGCUUCCAAAUCAUUGGAAGGUCCUCAGUCCCUUGGUUAGAAUGUUCCUAUUAGUAUAAGUCCAAAGGUUUGAGCAGGAAAGAGGCAAAAUGGAGAUGUUUCCAGGGUCUUUUAUAGCCUCUGCCAAGUGAAGGGAAACCCAUUGUUCUCACUGUGGAAAAUUACAAGGAACAAGAUUGUGUUCGGAAUCAUAUGGGCAAAUCACAUGUCCAUGCAUGCUUCGCUUAGUGAUAGUAGAGGCCAUCCCCCAUACUCCAGUUAGAACAUUCACAGGAAAGUCCAUUAAGUGUAGAUAGGUGUCUUCCAUUGUGAGUUAAGUGAUCUUUGAUGGGCCAUUCAACUUGAAUAGUUCCUUCAAAAUGUGUGGGCUAAAUACCUUGUGGAUGUUACCACAUGAGCAAACAUUUGAAAUACAGGUACAUAGUUAAUAUCCAUAACUUCAGAUACAAAAAUGAUACAUGCAUACAAAUAGCAUAAUCAUAUUUGGAAAAUCAUAACCUCUCCAGAGACACCUUACUUGGCAUACUUUGUACCAGAUUUGUUGCAAUUAUAGAACAGUGGUAGCAACAAUGAUCUACAUGGUCAUAUUUUAUCAGAUAACGUCUCACAAACAGUACUGUACUGUAUUUGCUUUUUUUUGGGUGGGGUUGUCUCUGCUGCUGCCUGAUUGUGUACUUCCAAUUCCAAAUGAGGUGUGUGGUUGACUGGACAGUUCAUAGCUCUGUUGUUUGUACCUCUGAGGAUCUACUGUAAUUCUACUUCAUUACAUAUUUUUAAAAGUAAAAUUACUGAUGUUGCAAUGAAGUAUAGUACACACAUCUCAUUCUUUUAAAUCGCAAAGGCACUGCUUUUGUGGGAGGAUGUGGCAACACUGUACGCUUGCUGUUUGGCUUAUUCCUUGAGCUAAUGGUCUCUGGAUUAAUUAUUCAGACCAUUGUAGUUAGAAAUGGAAAAGACCUAUUGCAGUGAGUUCAUGACUGCCUUGAACAGAGCAUGGACCAUUCUAAUCCUUCUUUUCAAAUAUUUUUGUAAGUCACAUGUUCUGAGGCAUCUAAAUAUAGUAGUCUAAAAACUAGUAAAAAAGAAGAAACAAAGCCCAGUAAUAAUGACAUCGUUUAGUAAUUCUGGGAAAGGGUAACAGAAGGACAGUCCACAAAAACAAGCAUCAAACUCUUCAUUCCAGAAGAGAACAGAAGUUGAAUUUAAAAGAGCACAUAAAGCAUCGAUUAAGUGUUGAAAUUCUAUUUAAAUGAAAUAAAAGAGGGGAAGGGAGUCUAAAGAGCUCAGGCUAAAAGAUAAAGAGCCAGAUAUUUAGAAAUGGCAAUAGAAAAACAGGAUGAAUUACAAUCAUACAAUAUCAGGAUUGGAAGGGACCUCAGGAGGUCAUCUAGUCCAGCCCCCUGCUCAGAGCAGGACCAAUCCCCAGAUAGAUUUUUGCCCCAGAUCCCUAAAUGGCCCCCUCAAGGAUUGAACUCACAACCCUGGGUUUAGCAGUUAAUGCUCACACCACUGAGCUAUCCCUCCCAAUAAUAGCAGUGAAUAUAAUUGAGAUUUUUUUAAAGUGACAAUAUAGAAGACUGCAAGACUAGGGAAUGAAGUGAAGAGGGGAAGGCAUAUUGAUAGUGAAGCAAAACAAUUAUGAGACUUGCUACAUGCUUUUUGGGUUAGGCUGAAGAGAGACUUUUGGAACACCAUCAUAGGUAGAACUGCAGAAAAUGAGAUAACGUAAAGCUUCAAAGCAGUGACAGCUGAAUGAUGGGGGUUUUGUCCAUUGAGAAGACUGCAGUGGCAAUGAAGAAAGGAGUUAGAAAAAAAGAGCUUCUCUCAGACUUAAGUUGGCUUUUACUAAAAGAAGAAUGACGUCCGUGUCUUUCAUCCAGUGUUGAUGUGUGGGAGGAUGAUUCUGCAAUAUACACAGUACAUUGCUAAGUUAACUGAGAGACAUGUACCUUUUCAAUGCUAUUUAUUGCAACUGGUCAACAUAUGUAUGUUACAGAAACUAGGUUCUAGUAGUAUCUAAAGACCAGCACUGGAAACAGUAGUGCUAACUAUUGUGACUAUACAAUAAAUUACCUUGGUAUCUACUGGUCAUGAAAAGUAGCAAUUGCGUAUAUGUAAGAUAUAUUCUAUAACUAGUACUAAAACAAACUUAAAAUUAAUUAGGCAAGUGUAAAUUAAACACACAUCCGACAUUUCCUGUUUGCAAUUAAUAUGUCAUUAGUAAGGCACUAUUUAACUGGUGAUAGGACGGUAGGAGCCCUGCCAUGUGUGUGGCUCUCACUGAAAGUCCUGGCUGCCCCAUGUGGCUGACAGCUGGGAGUCCGUUUUCCCCCUCUCUCCCCCCCCUUCCCUCCCAAUAUUCCCGUUAUCAGCUCUGGGCCCCUGUUCACAGCCCCGGGCAACUGACAGCGGAAAAAUCAUAGAAAAGUAAUAAUGGAUAUUAUUAUUUGCAGUAAUAAUAAGGUCCAUUAUUACUUUUCCACAAUUUUCCAUUACUUGUCCACAACUCAGCUGCAAUUUUUUGACAAUCAUCCCACAUUUCAAGUAGGUCCUUAGUCAUUAGACCAAAAUCUUUCAGCUCAUUAAUUCUGACAUGAAAUUGCUAAUACAGCUAAUAUUGAAUAAAGUGUUUAAUAGUGUACAUGUGUCUGUUUUCUAAGAUUAUAUUUCUAUUUGCACAAGCUACAUUAAAAUCAAUUAAAGGAUUAUUUAUUGUUGGCUAAACAGACCAAAAAGAUGUAUGUAUUUUGUUUGUGAAUGUUUUGUAUUCUUAACUAUUUGUUUGCCAUUUUGAAAAUAUGUCAGUAGGUGUUAUCCAAUCCAUCCAUAAGUUUAGAAGGAAUAAUAUUUUAAUUUUCAUUGUUAGCUUAGAAAAUAUUAAAAAUUAUUUUCUGGAGCAGAUGAUACAUCUUGUAUUUUGUUCAUGAUCUUCUGGUGCUAUUUCAUUAUUUGAAUGCAUUGAUAAGCCUAUUUUUCAACUUCAUAAUCUCAUCAGUCACAUUCUAAUAGACUCUAGAAUAUAUUUCUAGAUACUGCUAAAUUAGCAAGGGGGAAAAAGGUCCUUAAAUAUUGCUGCAUGAAUAUUACUUGAAAUUUUGAGCUGAGCUAAAAUAUGGCAGCUUUUGGAACUUGUGUUUGUGGAAGCAGGGAGUUAGUGGUGUUUUUUUUAAUUCCUGAUUUCUGGAAAAGUCAUAAAAUAAAGAUGUACAUGGUGCUAGUAUUUCAAAAACGAUACAUGAAAUCUUGGUUUCAUGUGCAUUUUAUUAAUCGCUCGACUGAGAUGGGAGGCCUGCAGAUUCAUUAUCCAUGCUCAUUUCUUUGGGGAAGGAUGAAGUAUCUCUCAUCUCUUGACAAUUUAUACUCCAUGGCAUGGAAGACCAGCUGUGGAAAAAGUUGGAAACCUUUCUAAAGCUCCAGGAAAAAAGGGGGGUGGCAAUCUGUUGAUAUAACUGAUGAUUUAGCAGCUGUCAUUCUUGCUAAUUUACACACACGUAUGCUCUUGUUGGGUCUGUUCAGAGGUUUACAGUCUUGAUCAGCGAGACUUGAGUUUAAAAACAAAACAGAGCAAAUGAUUUUUUUCCCCUGCGUUUGUCCUGCUGACUUUGAACAACAUCAGAACAAUGUGGAGGGUAAGGUUUCUGGCCUUGAUGGUUAGAAUUGGUAGCUGCCAUCCAGAGCAGCAAAAAAAACCCUCUCCUGUAGCAGUAGGAAGAGAGGCAGAGGAAAAGUGCAAAAUUGGGGGAUGUACUAAGCAGAAAAUACAGAAUUGAGAAAAGUAGGAAGCUUUGUUUUUGUUUUUUGUUUUUGUCAACAAGAACAGUGGGAUGAGCGGUAGAAGUGUAGAAUUUCAUGGGCAAGGAUGUUAGGGAACCAGGCUCUGAGAAGCUCAAUGCCCCUGCAAGGAUAGGGGAGAUGAGGCCUAAUUGUGCCUCUGUUAUGAAGAGACCCAGAGAAGUGGCUUGAAGAUUCUGGUGGAAAGCUGGCCUUAACUUACCAGGAGCAGGGGCUAGCUAAAGGAAGCUGAUCCUUCAACUCCCCUCAUCAAGGGGUAAAUUCACGUUUAGAGAAUCUAGGAACUUUUACUUGGACACUUGAAGCUCUCAAUUAGGUUUCAAAAAUAACCUUGAAUGAAUGAAAAUAGACACAUAGUCCACAUAGCUGCCACAAGUUAAUAGCUUCCCUUCAGCUUCUUUGGAGAAACAGCAAAUGCAAUGUGAAGUUAUCAAAAUUAUUCUAGGGACUCUUGUUUUAAGACUAAUGACACUACGUACUGCAUUAUGUGCACAUAAAUAUAUGUCCUAUUCUCUUGAAAUCCAUAUAACAAAAGAGGUGGCUUAAAACCCCCCAAAAAUGGAAUUCUGUGAACUUCCACAACUGUAGAGUUACUCAUUUAGGCUAUGUCUUCACUACCCGCCUGAAUCAGCGGGUAGAAAUCGAUCUCUCGGGGAUCGAAUUAUCGCGUCUCAUCGGGACGUGACA